rnacentral:tRNA from 2 species
GGCCUUGUAGCUCAGUGGUAGAGCAUACGAUUGCAGAUCGUGCGGUCCCGUGUUCGAACCACGGUGGGGCCU